UGUUGCAGAUAUUCGUAGGCGGAGGUAGUACUACCAAAGGGAAAAAAAAAAGCCGAUGAACAUAGCCCUGGAUAGUGCUUCUUUUCUCUCUGAUUCUCCAUUGAAGUGCACUCAACAUCCCACUUCACGUUUUCCCCAUUGAAGCAGUUUCCGAGGUAAGUUGUUUCUUUUAGUAAUCAUCAUAUCAAUUUCAAAAUCUAGGGUUCAUCUUUCAUCUAAUCUAAUUUAAUUAUCUCAAUUAUAUUGGUUCUAAAUACUAAUAGUAUGAAAGAUCAUAACCAGCGAAAAAACAAAAUUAUGUAUUUUUUCCCUGGGCAUAGGGCGGCCGCCCCUCCUGCCCUGCUUCAGGGACGGGCCUGCCUCUUGGUUGUUUAAUUUGUGCUAAUCUUGGUCUGGAUUGUUUUGAUUUUGGUUUUUACCUUGAUCUUAAGGAAUUGAUAAUGUGGUUGAGUUUGAUUUAAAUCUUAUACUUGAUUAAGGUAUCUCGUAGAAAUUCUAAAUUCAAUUUUGUCUCUUUAAAAUUCAGAAUUUCAGAAUUUGCACAAGAUGUAGAAUUUUUCUUGUUUGUCUAAUUUGUUGUUGUUGAACUUUUGAUGCUAUUGUUGUCUAAUUUGUUGUUGAGGAUAAACGAGCCCAACCCAAUCUGACAUGAUAUGGAUAUGAGGUUGAAACGUUGUACCAGCACCACUACUACCUUGCAAGAGGACGUUCAUAAUAGAAACCUUGAUAGACUUACUUGCCUACCUGAUGAAUUGUUAAUUUAUAUAAUUUCUUCACUUCCUACUAAGGAUGCUGCUGCUGCUUGCACCUCCUCUAAGAGGAUGAUUAACAAUAUAUUCCAUUCGCUUACCAGCCUUAACUUUGAUGAUUCGCCUAUAAGUCAUUGUUUGGUGACACCCUAUGCAAUCGAACGUUUCCCCACUUUUGUUGCCUUUGUAGACUCCGUUCUCCUAUCAUACCACUCUCGCUAUCUUACAAGCUUUAGUCUUGGAGUGGGUGCGCCUGUGUUCAGAGGUCCAGGUAUAAUCCCAAGCAUAAAGAAUAUCGGUGUCGCAACGGCUGUUGUCCAGACUUGAAAUCCUCGCAUAUUAAUGCUUGGAUUUCUUUUCCUUUAACCUUUUCUGGACUCAAGGAGCUCAACCUCCGUAUUAAUGUGAGGGAAGAAGGGGAUAUUCAGCUGCCACCGGAAAUUUUCACGUGUGAGACAUUAGAGAUUUUGAAGCUUGAUACUAACCUUGGUCUUGAAUCUUGAUCAAGCUUCAACCUCUACAUCCUUCCGUCUUCCCAGCCUGAAACUACUCUCCUUUCGUGCUGCUAUGAUUCCCGACGAUGGCCUUGUGACAAGGCUUGUUUCAAGCUGCCCUAUACUUGAAGAUCUCACUUUGGUUGCAACCUGGAAACAUGCCUGUUAUAUAAGUAUCUCUUCAUCUUCUCUUCGGAGACUAUCUCUGGAAGUGUGGAACAAAUUUGAGGAGCAUCACAGCAGUGACUUGGUACUUAUUCAUACUCCUAAUUUGGAGUAUCUUCACUACACUUAGCAUCACAUUACAACAUCACAAACAUGGAUCGCCUUGUCGAAGCAGACCUUGAUAUUGAAAAUGACUUAUUGGAGGUUGCAUUUGAGGUUUCUGGCCAGCUAAAACUCAGCCUUUUGAGGCCAUUGUCUAAUGUUCAGCAUUUAACUUUGAUCGAUUUAUUUUUACAGAAUUAAACCAUGAAGAUUUAAAGGAUCAACUGCCGGUGUUUUGUUAUUUGAAGUGUUUAGAACUGGGUUUCUAUGAAGGUAGCUUUUGGGAUAGUAUAUUAUUGGGAUUUCUUAAUUGUUCGCCUGUCUUGGAAACACUUGUAUUCCCUGAGGGGUUAACUGCAUAGCCUGAUUGCCAUGAGGAGGAGGAACUUGCUUCAGAACAACAGUUUUGCAGAACAGCUCUAGCAGAUGUGCCUACCACAUGUUGCAGAUAUCAUCUUAAAUAAAUUGUGAUUAAAAGUUUCUUGGGAUAUGACAGGGAAAUAGAUUUGAUCCAAUUUUUCCUGACGUAUGCAUUAGUUCUGGAGAAUUUGGUCAUAUACCCGGGUCGCAGUGCAAAUGUAGAUCAAAUGAUGACAGUUGAGAGCACACUGCAAAACUUACCGCGUGCCUCUGUCACCUGUUCAAUUCAAGUAGUGUAGAUUUGGAUAGUUGAUUUGUUGUAAUUGCUUCAAUUUUGGCAUUUUUCUGAUGUUAAUUGCUGCCCUAGUACUUUGCUUUUGAUGAUAAUUGAUUGUUUUAACAAUGUCAAUCUUGUGAUUUCAGGGAAUAUAAGUUGAAAUUCUUGAUUUGAGAA